AAAAAGGUAAGCUAAAUAAGCUUUUAGGUUCAUACCCUGAUAAUAGAAGUAUUAAUCUUCUUCUUUUUA
rnacentral:tRNA from 1 species